rnacentral:rRNA from 1 species
UGGGGAAUAUUGCACAAUGGGCGCAAGCCUGAUGCAGCGACGCCGCGUGAGGGAUGAAGGCCUUCGGGUUGUAAACCUUUUUCGCUCAUGGUCAAGCCGCAGCUUUGGGUUGUGGUGAGGGUAGUGGGUAAAGAAGCGCCGGCUAACUACGUGCCAGCAGCCGCGGUAAUACGUAGGGCGCGAGCGUUGUCCGGAAUUAUUGGGCGUAAAGGGCUUGUAGGCGGUUGGCCGCGUCUGCCGUGAAAUCCUCUGGCUUAACUGGGGGCGUGCGGUGGGUACGGGUUGACUUGAGUGCGGUAGGGGAGACUGGAAUUCCUGGUGUAGCGGUGGAAUGCGCAGAUAUCAGGAGGAACACCGGUGGCAAAGGCGGGUCUCUGGGCCGUUACUGACGCUGAGGAGCGAAAGCGUGGGGAGCGAACAGG